CUGAGCUUCACACCAGAACACAUGUAGUGUGGAACUGUGAUAGAUGUCAGGUGUAGUACGUGAUAGUGUAUUAUCAUAGUAUUUUUGUUCAUGAGUUUCAUUACGUUUAUAAUAUUAAAGUAAAAUAUAAUAAUAGUGGAAAAUAUUCUCCACAACAAUACCAAGUAGUAAUGCUAACAGUAUAUAUAUCAAAGUUCAGAAACCCACUAGUAAUGAAUUUCCAGAGGUAUAAUCCCUUGGCUAAGGAUGCUGUGUUUAAAAUGGUGGUCUAAAUUCUUGUUAGGGUUAUAACCCCAGUCUCCUGUGUAUUUUAUCAAGAAGAAUUUUUCAUAGUUUUAUAUGCUAGAUAAAUAAAAUAAAAAAGAAACAACACAGGAGAAAUGUAGAAAUAAUUUGAAAAAUAUCAAUGUUUUUAUUAUUUUCCUGGCUGUGUACUCCACGGAUGUAUGCUGGGUAACACAUGAUUGCUUGGCUGCAAGAUCCUGGGUUGCCCUGCCCUCUUGCAUAUGGAUCAAGGGAACUGAAAAUGGAUACCUCCAAGCUGUUUUACGUAUUCUUCCUUAGUCCUGAAGUUUGAAGUUCACUGUUCAUGUAUGAAAGAUAAAGACUGUAAUGCAUUCCCCAAAGCUGAUUUGCUACAUUCUCCUUCUGUUGUGAGCUUCAGGAUGUGAAACUUAUGUUUGGAGCAUAGACACUGAGAUGGAUUUCCCCCCAAACUUGAUUUAUAUGUUCUCCUUUGGUUUGGGUGUUCCUGAUCAGCUCUUUGGGCUCAUUACAUAGACACAGUAACAGAUACCCCCAAGCUGAUUUUACACAUUGUUCCUUGGUCAUGAGCUUCUUGAUCUGCUGUUUGUGUUCAUAGGAUAGAUACAGUGUGAGUAUAGUCAAUAUUCAUUUACAGACUCUUUGUUGUAUUGAUGACGUGCUUCUUGUCAUCUAGAAGCACACCCAUGGCCAAACUGUUAGCAUGGCAUUUGGGUGAAAAACAAUGUUUCAAAAAUUUGUGCCCAACUAAGAUUGUAUUACCAAAGAGAUACACAAUGUGGCAAAAGAUCCUGAAUAGUACUGAGUGUACUCAGGGAUCUUGCCUCAGAUAUUUGCAAUUGAUGAUUAUUUCAAAAGUAAUAAUGAGCUAUCAUUCAACAAACAUGGAAAUUCUAGAGAAAAGGAAGGAUGAUGUUGGAUCAAUGAUGACUGUGGGUAGCUUAUGAGUCGGAUCGUGACUUCAAGUCUUAGUCUGAGGUCCACAUCAUCAAUUAUCUAGCUUAUACCCACGAACCUAGUAGCAGAUAAUCCACUUUUACACUUAAUAAAAAUAUGAAUAAAGGUGAGUUGUUAAGAUAUUUAAAUUUUUUUAAAUUAUAAUCUAAUUAUAUCAUUUUCCUUUCUCUUUCUUUUCUCUAAAUCUUCUCAUAUACCUCUCCUUGGCCUUACUCCAAUUCAUGCUGUUACAUGCAUAUACAUUACAUGUACAUACACACACACAC